AAUAGUCUAACGACUGAACCAGCAAUUUGGAAGAAUGUAUAGCAAUAGCUAGUUGCAUAACGUUAUGUAAUAUCGAUUAUAUUGAAUAAAGUUCUGAGUAAAUCUAGAUGAUGACUUAAUUUACUCACGUGUAUUGACUAAAAUGCGUGCCAGCAGUCGCGGUAAGACGUAUAAUACUUGUGUUAUUCAUCUUUAGCAGGUUUAAAGGGUACUUAGACGGCAGAUCAAGCUAUAACAAGGACUAUUCUGCUAGGGUUACUUAUAAAGGGGCUUUAAAGUACUAAUGGAGUAGAGAUAAAAUGCUAAUAUACCUUUUUUUGAAAAAGAUAAAAUGGCACUGAUAAAGGCGAAAGCAUCUCCUUAUGUGAUAACUGACGUUAAAGGACGAAGGCUUUGUGUUGCGAACAGGAUUAGAUACCCUGGUAGUCGAAGCAGAGAAUGAUGAGUGCCAUAGAUUGGAAUAAGUUUAAUCUAUAAAUGAAAGUGUAAGCACUCCACCUUAAGAAUAAUGUGGCAACACCGAAAUUGAAAUCAUUAGACCGUUUCUGAANNNNNNNNNNNNNNNNNNNNNNUAAUUUGAUAAUCCACAAAAAACCUUACCACAAUUUGAAUAUUUAUAGUUAACUAUAUUUACAAGCGUUGCACGGCUGUCUUAAGUUAAUGUCGUGAGAAUUUGGUUAGCUCCAUUAAAUUGACGUAAACCCUCGUUUUAUUUUUUUAUAGAACGGUUCACCGCUAUAUUGGAUAUGAUAAUAGGGAAGAAGACAAGUCAUCAUGGCCUGAAUAUUGU
rnacentral:rRNA from 1 species